GUUUGUGUUGUUUAGUUGGUUAAACCUUACUUAUUAAGUUUGAGGGCAUAAGUUCGACUCUUAUUGUUAACA
rnacentral:tRNA from 1 species